rnacentral:tRNA from 1 species
CCCGGCGUAGCUCAGCUGGGAGAGCGGGGGACUGUAGAUCCCCAGGUCGCCGGUUCAAAUCCGGCCGCCGGGACCA